rnacentral:rRNA from 1 species
UACAGAGGUCUCAAGCGUUGUUCGGAUUCAUUGGGCGUAAAGGGUGCGUAGGCGGUGAAGUAAGUUGGAUGUGAAAUCCUGGGGCUUAACCCCAGAACUGCAUUCAAUACUGCUUUGCUAGAGUACUGGAGAGGAGAUUGGAAUUCACGGUGUAGCAGUGAAAUGCGUAGAUAUCGUGAGGAAGACCAGUGGCGAAGGCGAAUCUCUGGACAGUAACUGACGCUGAGGCACGAAGGCUAGGGGAGCAAACGGG